ensembl:lncRNA
CCGGCCUGAACACUGCAGUUUGUCUGGGGAGGAUCCUCGAGGGAGCUUCACCGCGUAUGUGGAGUGGGUGCUGAGCUCUUGUGGAUCAGCCUUGUGGAUGACGAUGCCAGCCUCACUCCCAACCCAGUGCCAAGUCAGUCACCACCCCGAUGUGAGGAGCGACAGCCUGACCCCACUGUAGACGGAGAGAAUGCCUCAGCCGCGUUGUCAGAGCAAUUGCCAGGAGGAUCAACCGAGCCUGAUGACGGGAGCAACUGAGCGAGCCAGAGGGGACCCUGUCCAAACAGGUGCGUGUGCUGACUGUCUCAUCCAUCGCCAAGAUAAUUCUCGUGGAAUUCGGGGGUAUGGAUCUACGGCCAGCUCCGCCCUCCCUCAGGCUCCGUCUCCUUCCUCAGUCACUCCAGCUCACCCUCUGGCCUCCGGAUACCCACCUACUCCUCGGCCACCUCCAAAGCCCCCUCCAUCCUUCCCUAAUUGCCCAGUGUUGUCAAUUUUUGAUGUGUUGUGGCUGCUUUCUGUUUGUGGAUUAUCACCUUGCGGAUUAUUAAUUGUUAUUCUUCCUGUCCUUCUUUGUUGUGUGUAUAUUACCUCACAUCGUGAUCAUUUUACCCUCUCACAUUCUGCUGGGUUCCUCCUACAUCAGUCUAAAAGUAACAGGAUGCGAGUGAGCUGGGUUGUCAUGGUGAUGACCGCUGGGGGUAGGAUUAAUGUGUAACUAAACAACUUUCAGGGGAAGAGAUGACAGCUACUUACUCCAUAACCUGGUUAGUCUAUAUUGGAGCUGAUUACAUUUCAAACGGGUCAUUAUCUAAAUUUGACAGGCUGUGUGAGAAAAAAUAGGUAAUCACAGCCAGACAGAUCCAGUCUUUUACUGUAAAAGUAGAUAUCAACUCCAUUAAUGUUAACACAGGGCUGGGAAUCCUCGCUUAAAAGUAAUCUGUAUGCAAUUAUAUGAUUUCAAGCUGAAAAUGUAUUAAUAAUUAAGUGAAAACCAAAUGAUCAUUAUUACUGUUUAAUGUAUAAUUGUGGUUUUCUGCCUAUGAGUACAAAUUUUCAUUUAUUUUUGCAGCACUAAUAAGGAAAAUGACUAAGUUUGCUAUGAAAUUAGAAUAUGUUAAACAGACAUUCACAAAAGUCAGGUACCAUUAUCCAUGUUCUUCCCACACAUAAACGUCCUUCUCUAUCACUCAAACCUUUAUAUAAAAAAAGUGCACAUCAUCUCCAAGGAAGUGUAGUAAACUGUUUGAGGUAUGUUAACAAGACCUCCCCUUUCUAACACAUUUCACUCAGCCUGUCACUUUACAGAAAAUGAAAUGAUGUCCUUGUCAUCCUUUCUUCCAGACCAGAGAUAUUUCCUUAUUAGG